UACGUAGGGUGCGAGCGUUGUCCGGAUUUAUUGGGCGUAAAGAGCUCGUAGGCGGUUUGUCGCGUCGGCCGUGAAAUCUCCACGCUUAACGUGGAGCGUGCGGUCGAUACGGGCAGACUUGAGUUCGGUAGGGGAGACUGGAAUUCCUGGUGUAGCGGUGAAAUGCGCAGAUAUCAGGAGGAACACCGGUGGCGAAGGCGGGUCUCUGGGCCGAUACUGGCGGUGAGGAGCGAAAGCGUGGGGAGCGAACAGG
rnacentral:rRNA from 1 species